rnacentral:rRNA from 1 species
UUAGUAACGGCGAGUGAAGCGGUAAAUGCUCAAAUUUGAAAGCUGCCAACAGGCCGCGUUGUAAUUUGUAGAAGAUGCUUUGGGUGUCGGCCCAGUCUAAGUUCCUUGGAACAGGACGUCAUAGAGGGUGAGAAUCCCGUAUGUGAUUGGUGCCGUCCCCCGUGUAAAGCUCUUUCGACGAGUCGAGUUGUUUGGGAAUGCAGCUCAAAAUGGGUGGUAAAUUUCAUCUAAAGCUAAAUAUUGGCCAGAGACCGAUAGCGCACAAGUAGAGUGAUCGAAAGAUGAAAAGCACUUUGGAAAGAGAGUUAAACAGUACGUGAAAUUGUUGAAAGGGAAGCGCUUGCAAUCAGACUUGCAGGCGGUCGAUCAUCCGAGGUUCUCCCCGGUGCACUCGAUCGUCUUCAGGCCAGCAUCGGUUUCCGUGGUGGGAUAAAGGCUGUGAGAACGUAGCUCUUCGGAGUGUUAUAGCUCACGGUGCAAUGCCGCCUACGGGGACCGAGGACCGCGCUUCGGCUAGGAUGCUGGCGUAAUGGUUGUAAGCGACCCGUCUUGAAACACGGACCAAGGAGUCUAACAUCUAUGCGAGUGUUUGGGUGUCAAACCCAUACGCGUAAUGAAAGUGAACGGAGGUGAGAACCCUUUAGGGCGCAUCAUCGACCGAUCCUGAUGUCUUCGGAUGGAUUUGAGUAAGAGCAUAGCUGUUGGGACCCGAAAGAUGGUGAACUAUGCGUGAAUAGGGUGAAGCCAGAGGAAACUCUGGUGGAGGCUCGCAGCGGUUCUGACGUGCAAAUCGAUCGUCAAAUUUGCGUAUAGGGGCGA